CCUCUCAGUCUCAGCCUGUAUCCUCCACAGUCCCAGCACUCCAUGCUUUAAGUAUGAAACACUAUCUGAAGCCUUCCGGACACAGGGCUUAAUUAGUGAUUCAGCAUUAAACUUCAUACAGCGAACAUGUCCCAAGCAAAGCUGAAAACCAGGCCCAAGCAAUAGGAAGGAUUAGAGUUUUCUGCCCUGUGCCAAAAAAAAUAGUAAGGGUGACACAGGAACAAGGAAGAGGAAAAGGAAGAGGAAUGAAAGCGAUGAAAAGAAUUCUGUUUACUUUAAGCUAAUGGCCAAACAUCUGUGAGAAAUGCAACAGGAUUUUAGACUAAGCGGAAAGGAGAAUGAUUUAAAAUAGAAAAAAAAUGGUGAUGGUUCUUGUUCUGCACUCCUCCCUUUCCUUCCACUCUUCCCAGGAGCACUAGAAAAUAGUAACAAAGAGGAAAGAAUUAGUUGCAUGAAGAGGGAAGUGCAGAGAAGUGCAAAAAAAGUUAAGAUCUCGGGGGAAAGCUUAUGGAUUAUUGCCAGAUUUAAGAACAUUUACUUUGCUUGCUUUCCAAAUGUAAUCGCAGAUUAUAAAAUUGAUAAUUACGAAGAAAAGAGCAACCUAGAGAAAAAGCAGAGUGCAAUGCUUGCAUAACUGAUAAUGACAAAGAAUUUCCAAAUCCAUUAUUCAUUGACGAUAACAUGAAACAAUACCUCUUAGAGAUAAAGACUUGAUAGAUUAUACCCUCGGGCACUAUUUGAGGCAGCCAAAGCAAUCUUUGGCUUGCUAAUCUAGCAGCAGAGCAGUUGCAAAAGACACUUGGCACUUCUAAUAAAAUUUCCACAGUGAUCCAGGCACUUUGCAAUGAUCUGAUCACACCUAUUAAUCAGAGGUGGGGAAGUAAAAAUCUCAGAGGACAACGUUUGCAGAGGAUUUAAAGGUUGGUCAUCAAACAUAUUUGGAUCACUUUUCAGAUGUUAUUACUGAAGGCCAGUGCAAAGUAUCUAGGAAUGUAGGUCAACUGUGAUUGAAGACAGGGCUUUAUCCCAUCAAAUUGUGACAGAAAGUGUUUGAGCCACCCUGCAUGAUUUCUGUCACCAUCCAUACUUGGGCACUUGGUUUUAAAGAGUCCACUUUCCUGGACAAGCUUGGUCUUCAACUCACCCAUCUGAACAGCAUGGAUUUCCUACGUGUGCUUCUGGCCUUUUAGCUACAGCCCCUGGGAUAAUGACCCUACCAGCAAGGCAGCUAAAACUGCAGGAACUGGGCACAUCGAUCCGUCCUAAGGCUCGCACUGGAUUGCAGCUUCCCCAAGAGCACACGACCACUUUUUCCACAGCACUACAGAUGCUUUCGUUCUCUGGCUCUGCAAUUAGACAGAAAAGCCUGCAGGAGAGCAGGAGGAUUUUUUGAAGAGGCUGUGUGUUCCUGAACCUCUGGGAUUGGUGAGAGAGAUACACUUGCAAUUGGAAAGAUAUAAUAGUCAGAGGGAGCAACUACUAGAGGGAUCAUGGUGAACAAGCCCUUCCUUCACAGCCACUUGGGGUGAAUCCUCAUGGGACAGGAAUCAGGGUGCCAGCAUUCAACUUCUCUACCCACAUCCUUCUGGUGACACUAAGGAGAAAGAUGGGAAAGAAAGAAUGAUGGCACAAGCCCCCAGAGGUCUGUCAGACAGUGGAAAGCUGGGGGAGAGCAAGCUGCCAGCAAAACAUCCUCCAGGCACAUUCGAAGAAAGAGGUGAAUGUGAUAGCUAAAAUUCUAGGCAUCAGGCUCCCAAAUACUGCCACCUUGAUUCAUUUCAAACCACUUUAGAGAAGGCAGCAUCUCCUUAGAUAAGCCUGUUGCUUCACACACACAUCUCAGUGCUACACAAAUGUCCACAACUACUGCUAAUAUGUGUUUACAUAUUCCUUUAUGCAUUCACAGCACAGAAUGUAUAAACUGGGGGGGGAAAUGCCCUCUUGCUUGUAUGGCAGCCUACAGGCAUCAAUUUCUUCUCUACGGUAAUGCUGACACUAGUGAUGAUUCUGCUCAAACAAGCACAUAAACCAGAAAUAGUUCUGCUUGUCUCCAGCUUCAUAAGGGAACAGAAGUACACAAUAACACAGGGACUGAACAAACAAUAAUAAAUUUGUAUUUUCUACCUUCUGAAACUGGCACCAUCUGAGCAACAGAAGAAUUAGCAGCCAUUUUCAGUAAUCAUUUAUUUACUGGAAUCAUGCAAGCAGAUAUAUUCAGCUAUAUGAUUGAGGAUUUCUGUGCAGUGCUUUCACACAGCAUUUAUGUAAUUUAUUCUGUAACAAGCUAUUCCCAGCUCUAUAAGGAAAUUACUAUAUCCUACAUUCAAGUCAGAGUAAAUCUUAAUUUCUUUAAGCUUCCUUUUUUUUGAAAGGUAAAACACGGAUGUAGAAAACAAUCACCCUUAUUAAAGAAGUGACUGCAGACAACAGACACCAAAACUGAGGCAAGUGAGAGGACAAAAGAGAUAAGUGUCUAAGACACUUGCAGCUUAGCAGGGGGAGUAGCUUCCCUCUUUCAAAUAAAAAAUGUACGUGUGGUACCUUUGAAAAGAAAAAGGGAUGUUAAAAGACUAAGUACAUAAUUUACCUAUUAAGACAGAACAUCUAACUUGCAUGAUAGUUUUACUGGCAGAUCUGAGUUCCUGAAAUUUAUACAAAACCAAAAGGUACCUACACUUGAAAUGCUAAUUGUUCCCUGGCAUGAGGAAUGCUGCAACAUUGAAAAUGAUCCCUCUGGUCAGACAUGGCAGGGAGAGAUUUAGAUCAGUGUGGUGAUGCAACUAUUCAGGCUGACUCCAAAAUUAAACAUGUGUCCACCCAAUGGUCAGCCAGGCAACCACAUUUAGAGGAUGACAUAUUUUUUAAUUCUUUUCUUAGGAGGGAUAUAAACAAGACUGCAAGGAAUAAAUCAACUCCUAAUCAAGAACAUAAGGGAAUUUCUUUGGAGUAACUGAUAAACAUUUCCUGUGCAAACUUCUUUGCUUAGGAAAGUUACUCUACAGGUUUCUGGGGUGCCCAGUCCUGGCCCUUUCCUUUGGUGAGCAUCAGCCAUGUGAGAGCAUCAGUCGGCUCCACUGCCAGGUGCCACAGCCAGGUUUGCUAGGCCAGCAUUCUACAGAGAGUAAAACCUGCUUAAAAUAUUUUCAUAGUUAAGUAAUUUGAAAAUAGGUAAACAACAGUUAAAGUUUUAUUCUACAAUCUAAAAUGUGAAUGUCUACACUAAAUAAGUGUCUUAGGAAUAGUGGCUGUAUUCCUCUUUUCCACGCCUGUCCGUUUAUUUCAACCAGUUUCACUCUUGGGAAGAAUUGUUUGACUAAAAUAAAAAUAAACAACAUUUUGAAGGACUUAAAAUAUAUAAUUUUAUUUAAACUAAGUUUGUGUUGUUAAGAUACCCAAAGAAGCCCCAAUGAGCAAGGAGUAUAAUGAAGAAAGUUGAUAGUAUUAUUUCCACCAUAAAAUUUCAUUUAAGGUUUUGUAGUUGAUGCAGAACAGAUGCAUCUCUGAAAAUAGUGUACUUUUCUUUCAAAACAACAAAUGAACUUCUGACUGCCCAGGUCACUUAGUUUGUGUACUGACAGACUGGGUUUUCGGUAGUUGACCUUUAUCAGAUUGGCUGACUGACAGCAAUUUGGUCGGUCAUUCUGUUAAAGGCAAAUGUGUAUUUCUUUGCCCCAGAAUAAAAACUUUAAUUGGUUAAUAGAAUAUCAAGCCCCAUUUCAGUUCUGUACUCUUCUGUUGUUUUGUUGUUGUUUGGCUCAAGUACCUUUAUCUUGCUAUUUAGCUAAAUCACUAGCAAUAAUAUGAAAUAAAAUUUGAAUCAAUAACUGUGUUCAGAAAAUUUGUACUAAAGCUAUAAAUAGAAUGAGUUGCUUCCAGCAGGGACUAAAGCUUGCAGGGUACUCAAAGAAAAUUUCUACUCCAUUAAUAACUCAGCUGUUCUUAUAAAAGACCACAUUUUCUUAGCAUAAGGAAGAUUUGCCAACAGGACUCUUUUUGAUGCCUACAUUGAUACCUAACAUACUAUAAUGUUCUUAAUAUGUCAAACUCACCUAGCCUUAACAGGGCAAAUUCUGAUCCUCUUGGGAUUGGAUGUGUUCAGCUCUUCAGGAUGUUGCUUUCCAGUGGCUUUUGCACUAAGCAGGCAGCAGCAGCUGGGUAAUGAUGCUGGACUUGCUUCUUUGUAUCUGACAGCUGACCUAAACCAAAU